ACGCUCGACACCUACGGGGGCAGCAGUGGGGAAUAUUGCACAAUGGGGGAAACCCUGAUGCAGCGACGCCGCGUGGAGGAAGAAGGUCUUCGGAUUGUAAACUCCUGUUGUUGGGGAAAAAGAGGAUGGUACCCAACAAGGAAGUGACGGCUAACUACGUGCCCGCAGCCGCGGUAAUCUGAGCGGGCUGGCAAGGC
rnacentral:rRNA from 1 species